rnacentral:rRNA from 1 species
GUUUGAUCCUGGCUCAGAGUGAAUGCUAGUGGCAGGCUUAACAUAUGCAAGUCUAACGGACUUUUGUUAAAAAAGUAAGUGGCGUACGGGUGAGUAAUACAAAGGAAUAAUGUAAAUUAGACUGGUAAAAGAGAAUGAAAAUUUUUUAUAAAUACCGGAUAAAAAAAAUUUCUUGUUGAAAUAUUUUUAAAAAUUAUAUUGCUAGUUUACAAGCUUUUGUAGGAUUAGGUAGUUGGUUGUUUAAAAGACUACCAAGCCGAUGAUCCUUAGCUGGUUUUAGAAGAAUGAACAGUCACACUGGGACUGAAAAAGGCCCAGACUUCCAUGGAGGGCAGCAGUGAGGAAUAUUGGACAAUGGGCGCAAGCUUGAUCCAGCUAUGCCAAAUAGGUGAAGACGGUUAUUUUAAUUGUAAAACCUUAAUGUUAAGAAAGAUAAUGACAUUACUUAAAGUAGGAGUCCCGGCUAACUUCGUGCCAGCAGCCGCGGUAAUACGAAGGUCCCAAGCGUUGUUCGGAUUUACUGGGCGUAAAGCGUCUGUAGGCGGUGGGGUAAGUCAGAUGUGAAAUCCCGGGGCUCAACCUCGGAACUGCAUCCGAUACUGCCUCACUAGAGGGUCGGAGGGGAG